GACGAACCGUGCAAACGUUGUUCGGAAUCACUGGGCUUAAAGGGCGCGUAGGCGGGUUCCCAAGUCGGUGGUGAAAUCUUUCGGCCCAACCGGAAAAGUGCCGCCGAUACUGGGAGUCUCGAGGGAGGUAGGGGUCGAUGGAACUUCCGGUGGAGCGGUGAAAUGCGUAGAUAUCGGAAGGAACGCCGGUGGCGAAAGCGGCGCACUGGACCACAACUGACGCUGAGGCGCGAAAGCUAGGGGAGCAAACAGGG
rnacentral:rRNA from 1 species